rnacentral:lncRNA from 9 species
AUGCAGCCUCAAAAAUAUGCAGCGCGCGCGCGUGUGUGUGUGUGUGUGUGUGCAUGUGUUGAAGUGCACACAAAUUGUAGCGUGUCAGCUAUCUCAUCUUAUUUAUUUCACCUUUUACCCCAAAUAGGUCUUUUUGGUUUGACCCAUGCUGUCCUAAAGAUGGACCACUUCUCAACCGUCACAUGCAUCCAGCACCUUUUGACCGACCUAUUUCUCUGGCUGGGGAAAUCCGGAUCGCCAGUGCUUCAGAGCUCCUGCAAGCCGUGCUGCCAGGAAUAUGCUGAGCAUGCCCCCUGCGGACCUGGGCAUAAGGUGCUCCAAGGUUUACACCAAGGUAUAUGUGCCUGGCACAUAACAAGUGCUCAAUAAAUACUGCCAUGUGACCGUCAGAUGAAUAAGAGCUGAAAGGAAGUUACCUGCAGCUUUUUUUUUUUUUUUUUUUUGGUCUUUUUGCUAUUUCUUGGGCCGCUCACGCGGCAUAUGGAGGUUCCCAGGCUAGGGGUCUAAUCGGAGCCGUAGCCACCGGCCUCCACCACAGCCACAGCAACUUGGGAUCCGAGCCGCAUCUGCAACCUACACCACAGCUCACGGCAACACCGGAUCGUUAACCCACUGAGCAAGGGCAGGGACCGAACCUGCAACCUCAUGGUUCCUAGUCAGAUUCGUUAACCACUGGGCCACGACGGGAACUCCACCUGCAGCUUUUUGAGGAGGGAGAAACCACCUCUGUCUGGGGCCAGAAGGCAGGACUUCCUGGGGGUGGCGGUGAGCCCAGAGAAGCGUUUACCAACGGGAUACAGGAAUUCCCGGCAGAGAGAGCGACAUGGAACUAGAUGGCGCUACACGGUUCCGGGAACUGAGGAUGAGUUGGUGGGAACCGCUGUGGAGGACUUUGGGCUUUGUAGGUGGAGGGUUUUUUUUUUUUUUAACUUUUUAUUGAAGCGCAAUGUAAAGAAAGGUGCUUACAUUGUAAAUGUCCAGCAGGAUGAAUUGUUACAAGCUAAACACACCUGUGCAAAUAGUGCCCAGAUCCAGAGAUAAGACACUGCCCGCACCCAAGAAACCCCCCUCGUCCUUCCCCUCGUUCCUCCCUUUUUGCCCAAAGAGCACCCCUGUCCUGACUUUAGUAGUUUCUUUCCUCUCUUUUUUCUUGACAUUCACAGAAAUGGAUUCACACAGUAUUUACUUCUUUGUGUCCAGCUCCUUCCUCCCCAGACUCUGUGACAGGCGUCUAAUAAUCCCAUUCCAUGCUACUGCAGAUAGACAUCCUGGUUAUUUCUGGGUUGUGGCUGCUGUAAAUAAAACAGAAUAAAAACAUGCAUUAAAAACAUCUUGUGGAUGUCUUUCAAGGGACAAAUGUAGGCAUUUCUGUUGGACAUACGCCCAGGAGGGGCACUGCUGGAUAUAGGGUAGCCUAGGCUCAACUUUAGCAAGACAGUGCCAAACUGUGGUUGUACCCAGUAUGCCCCCUUCAGCAGCAGUGUUCUCAGAAUUCCAGUUGCUCCACAUCCUCACCAACACUUGAUAUUUUUUAUGAUUUUUUUUUUUUUUUUGGUCUUUUUAGGGCCGCAUCCACAGCACAUGGAAGUUCCCAGACUAGGGAUUGAAGCUGAGUUGCAGCUGCGGCUACACCACAGCCACAGCAACAUGGGAUCCGAGCCGCAUCUGUGACCUACACCACAGCUCAUGGCAACCCCAGAUCCUUAACCCACUGAGCAAGGCCAGGGAUCAAACCCGAGUCCUCAUGGAUCCUAGUUGGGUUCAUUACUGCUGAGCCACACUGGGAACUCCUCUAUGAUUUUUAUUUUAGUAGUUUUGGCAGGUGUUUAGUGGCAUCUCAUUGUGGUUUAAUUUUGCACUCUCCUGAUGACUGACUAACAAUGUUUUCAUGUGUUGAUAGGCCGUAUGGGGAACCUCUUUUGUGAUGGGGCUGUUCAAAAUGUCUUGCCCAUUUUCCACCAGUUGCCUCUCUUUUUCUUAUUGAUUCAUAGAAGUUCUUUGUAUAUUAUGGCUAAGAGACCUUCAUCAGGUACACAUUUUGUCAAGUACUCACUGAAGGAUUCAGCACCAGGGACUGAUAUGGGUGAACUGUGUUUCUAAAAGCUUCCCCUGGCUGUGGAUGCAGAGCAGACUGACCAUGAGAUGGGCAAGGGGGGGGGUGAUGGUGGAGGUGACCAGGGCAGCAGCUGUGCGGCUGGACAGCAGGGGCCAGAGUCUAAGCUACUUCAGCAGCAGCAUGGACAAGCAACAUCUGUCAUGCCAUGUCAUGACGAAAACAAGACAUGUGUAGUGACAGAGAGAGGGGGUGACAGGGCUGGCUUCCAGGUCUCCCUGGCUGGCGGACAAGCUGACGCAUUCUGCCCACCCAGCCGCCGGCAGCCAAAGGCUGCUUUGUCCUCCCAGGCCCCACCCAGGCCUGCUGGUCAGGGAUGCUCUGGGGUCACCGUCGGGACACUGGAGAGAGUGCCCAGUGUAGAAUCUGGGUCUCCCAUGGCAACUGGGGGAUAAACACCCCCCAACACACACUCACAAAUGGCUGGGCUGGUUCAAGAAGACCCUGUACCCCAGAUGGGUUGGCAGCUGUGGGAUCAGGGCCCAGUCUGGGUGGACAAUGACCCCCUUUCUGCAGCCUCUUCAUCCCUGCUGAGCCCAGGCUCAGGGGAUGAGGGUCCUAGGCUGGUCCCUGAGGAAAGAGUGGAAACAGAUCCUGCAGUGUCUGGGCUUCCGAUGAGCGGUGGGGACAGCACUCUGAAUGCCUCCCAGAAAGCCAGGAC